GACGAACGCUGGCGGCGCGCCUAACACAUGCAAGUCGAACGGAGCUGUUUUCUCUGAAGUUUUCGGAUGGAAGAGAGUUCAGCUUAGUGGCGAACGGGUGAGUAACACGUGAGCAACCUGCCUUUCAGUGGGGGACAACAUUUGGAAACGAAUGCUAAUACCGCAUAAGACCACAGUGUCGCAUGGCACAGGGGUCAAAGGAUUUAUCCGCUGAAAGAUGGGCUCGCGUCCGAUUAGCUAGAUGGUGAGGUAACGGCCCACCAUGGCAACGAUCGGUAGCCAGACUGAGAGGUUGAACGGCCACAUUGGGACUGAGACACGGCCCAGACUCCUACGGGAGGCAGCAGUGGGGAAUAUUGCACAAUGGGGGAAACCCUGAUGCAGCGACGCCGCGUGGAGGAAGAAGGUCUUCGGAUUGUAAACUCCUGUCCCAGGGGACGAUAAUGACGGUACCCUGGGAGGAAGCACCGGCUAACUACGUGCCAGCAGCCGCGGUAAAACGUAGGGUGCAAGCGUUGUCCGGAAUUACUGGGUGUAAAGGGAGCGCAGGCGGAUUGGCAAGUUGGGAGUGAAAUCUAUGGGCUCAACCCAUAAAUUGCUUUCAAAACUGUCAGUCUUGAGUGGUGUAGAGGUAGGCGGAAUUCCCGGUGUAGCGGUGGAAUGCGUAGAUAUCGGGAGGAACACCAGUGGCGAAGGCGGCCUACUGGGCACUAACUGACGCUGAGGCUCGAAAGCAUGGGUAGCA
rnacentral:rRNA from 1 species